rnacentral:rRNA from 1 species
UACGGAGGGGGCGAGCGUUAUUCGGAAUUAUUGGGCGUAAGGCGCACGUAGGCGGAUCUUUAAGUCAGGGGUGAAAUCCCGAGGCUCAACCUCGGAACUGCCUUUGAUACUGGGGAUCUCGAGUCCGGGAGAGGUGAGUGGAACUGCGAGUGUAGAGGUGAAAUUCGUAGAUAUUCGCAAGAACACCAGUGGCGAAGGCGGCUCACUGGCCCGGAACUGACGCUGAGGUGCGAAAGCGUGGGGAGCAAACAGG